ACAUGGUCUUUUGUUUAUAUAAAAGAUCUGGCCUGCCCAAUGAUAUUUAAUUUAAUGGCUGCAGUAUUUUGACUGUACAAAGGUAGCAUAAUCAUUUGUCUUUUAAUUGAAGUCUGGAAUGAAUGGUUGGAUGAAAGGUUUACUUUCUUUAUUUUAAAGAUAAAAUUUAAUUUUUAAAUUAAAAAGUUUAAGUGAUAAUAUAGGACGAGAAGACCCUAUAGAACUUUAUUUAUAAUAAAUUAUUUAUUUAUUUGUUAAUUAAUAUUAUAUAAUUAUAUAUAAAUUUUGUUGGGGUGAUAAAAAAAAUUUUUUAACUUUUUUUAAUUUGUACAUUUAUAUAUGUAUUUUUGAUCCUUUAAUAUGGAAUAUAAGAUUAAGUUACCUUAGGGAUAACAGCGUUAUUAUUUUAGAGAGUUCUUAUCGAUAAAAUAGUUUGCGACCUCGAUGUUGGAUUAAAAUUAGCUUCAGGAGUAGAUAAUUGGUGGCUAAGUCUGUUCGACUUUUAAAUUUUUACAUGAUCU
rnacentral:rRNA from 1 species